rnacentral:rRNA from 1 species
UACGAAGGGGGCUAGCGUUGUUCGGAUUUACUGGGCGUAAAGCGCACGUAGGCGGUUUGUUAAGUCAGGGGUGAAAUCCCAGAGCUCAACUCUGGAACUGCCUUUGAUACUGGCAAGCUCGAGUCCGGAAGAGGUAAGUGGAACUCCUAGUGUAGAGGUGGAAUUCGUAGAUAUUAGGAAGAACACCAGUGGCGAAGGCGCUUACUGGUCCGGAACUGACGCUGAGGUGCGAAAGCGUGGGGAGCAAACAGG